ACGAACGCUGGCGGCGUGCUUAACACAUGCAAGUCGAACGAUGAAGGAAGAAGCUUGCUUCUUCUGGAUUAGUGGCGAACGGGUGAGUAACACGUGAGCAAUCUGCCCUUGACUCUGGGAUAAGCGUUGGAAACGACGUCUAAUACCGGAUACGACCCUCGGAGGCAUCUCCUGGGGGUGGAAAGAAUUUUGGUCAAGGAUGAGCUCGCGGCCUAUCAGCUAGUUGGUGAGGUAAUGGCUCACCAAGGCGACGACGGGUAGCCGGCCUGAGAGGGUGACCGGCCACACUGGGACUGAGACACGGCCCAGACUCCUACGGGAGGCAGCAGUGGGGAAUAUUGCACAAUGGGCGAAAGCCUGAUGCAGCAACGCCGCGUGAGGGAUGACGGCCUUCGGGUUGUAAACCUCUUUUAGUAGGGAAGAAGCGAAAGUGACGGUACCUGCAGAAAAAGCACCGGCUAACUACGU
rnacentral:rRNA from 1 species